CCAGUAAUACCCCCAGGAAAGGGUCACCUCACCAAUUUAGUAAAGAAAAUCACUUUUGCCAUUGUGCCUCAGGGUUGUACUCAGUAGUCACUAUGAGGCUGGGAGGCAGCUUUGUCAACCUUCUAAUUAAUGCUUUUGCUGGCAGCUAUUCCCUCUCCUCCUCUGUUUCCGAGAAUCAUGGAUAUAACCAGCACUCACCCAGGCUGCCACCCACUGCCUGGCACAGCCCUGCUGGAGUACCCUGCCCAAACUGCAGCAGCAGACAGGAGAGAGCUGUCAUCAGCAGCCCAGAAAAUGCUUCAUGAGGAUGUUUGAGAGUGCACUCAUUUCUCACAGCCCUGUCCACAACAUCAAGGACCACAGGGAGCAGCCUGUAACUCAACACCCUGUGUCCUCAGUGCUUCCUUCCCCAGAUGGAUCCUUCCUGAGAUUGUCUCCACUCUUUACCCAGGGACUUCAUAAUUGUAUGGAUUCUCUAGGUCAGCAAGCUGGCGGAUGGCAGAAUAGUAAAGGAUUUCAAAUAAUGUAGUGAAGAUUGGAGAGCUGCAAAAUAUAGAACAUCACUUGGAUGGAAAACUAGGAAAAGCAAGUGCAAGCGAACCUGAGGUUCUCAUGGAUUUUGGAUUGCAGAAAAUGCUUCAUGCUAGGACAUUUGAUAUUCUACUGGAUCUAACUAGAUUUUUGGUUCUCAGAGAAGCUGGAAUUUUCUGCAGUGAGUACAUGCACCCUGUAACAUGAUUGGUUUUACAUUGGUUUGAAAGACUCAUCAACAGGAAUGAACAUAUUUCACACUGUUUGUCAAGGAGAAGAGGUUACAAGUUUCUUUCCGAAAAGAGAAUUGAUCUGGGGACUAGCACCAGUUCAGGAGGGACCAUUAUUAAAAAAAAAUGUGCAGAGUUCUUGUUGCUUGAUUAAAAUGAUUGAACAAAUUACUUGUGAUUGAAGUAAUCCUUUGGGAUUUCGCAUAACAUAUUUUUGUAACUGUUCUUGUGAUAGUCCCUCCUCCUUCCCUUUUCUCCCUUUUUAAAAAUAGAAGCUUUUCCUUAUACUUAGGAAGCAAAGUCAAAUGUGAAGUAUGUGGUGAGAGUAGGAUGCAAAGGAACCUGAAACAGAGGGAGAAAAAGCAGCAUUAGCAAGAGUCAACUGUUACAUUUUCAGUGGGUGGUUUGAGUAAGGCAAUUUAACUCAACUAUCCUGUAGCACAAAGUAUUGUUUAUCCUUGGUUGGCCACCAAAUAAGUAACCACAUAUUUAAGCAAUUUGGCAAGUGCAUACAGCUGCAUGUUAAAAACAAUUAGAAGUAAAAAGUUAAUGCACCUGAAAAAGAGUUUGUUAGCUGGUGUAUGUCAUGCAAGCAAUGUACUCAGUUGUUUUAAAAAUAUAUUGGAGUCAAAACUUCUCUUUUUGUGCAGCAGUGGUAAUAACAAAGAAAAAAAAAGAGUAAACUGAUAGUAAAAAUUUAAUAAAACAUAAGUUCAGAUCUUGCUUAACAUACAAAACACGUGGUCCAGUUUUGCAAAAGAUUUACAGCAUAGUCCUGUAAUGUCUGAUGUACCAUUUGAUUCCUAGCAAAGAUGGAAUCACAGGCUUGUGACAAAUCCUGAAGUAACUAGUUAUUGUGUGUCACUUCACCAUUGGAGAUCACAAGAAAUGAAAUGGCUUGGCCAUAUCUGGUACCUGUCACCUAGAAAUAAUGUACAGUCAUCUUUGCUGGCAUUGUAUCAAAGUUGUGACGUUGAUCGGGUCACUGCAGAUUUAACCCUGUAUUUCUUUACGGGUCCUUCUCAAACCAACCUUGAUUUCUCCAGCUAUACCUAUACCAGUUACUUCUAGCCAUUUAUUUACCAGGUAGUCUGAAAAGUGUUCACUUCUUGUGAACUGUUUGUUUUGGCUAUUUUCUUUUUGCUAAUCAUAGGAUCUGUAUGCUCAUCUAAGUCACCUGUAAAAAUAUAUCUGAUUUUCUUUCUCCAAUUAAACAGUUUAUUUGCUGUACAGUGAGCUCCAGUAGAUAAAUAAACAUUGAAUAAAGGUGUUCAAAUGCAAUAAAGUUUAUGAAUGUUAUGAUUUGUUGUGAUCCAAAAAACUUUAAAACCAUAAAGAUACGCAGUAAUGGUGCCUCAUGGAUUAAAUUGUGAUCCUUAUUUAAAUUCUACAACUUUUUGCCUGUGCCAGCUGGCUGUAGGAAAUGGUCCAUACUGAGCGGUAUCAGCCCUGUGGGUUCUAACUUUCUGAGUUCAUCCACAGUUCAAAGCUAG
ensembl:lncRNA